AAUCAAAAUAAUUUUAGGCUUUACGCAACUGCAAAAUUUUAGAAAUGUUUUCAACUUAAGAUUUAUUUUUGAAAGGUCUCAAAACUUCUAAAAGUCAUUACGCCAGACUCUUUUAGGAAGUACAACAUCAAAAUGGCUACCCAAAACAAUAAAGUGGAGUGGAUGGAGCAAAAACAGGAAUGUGCACCACCGGUUGAGUUUUUUGAAAUAAAAGGAAAUGAUAUUUUUAAAGUCACUCAAAGAGAUGUAUUAGUCACAAAUAAAAUUCGCGUAUUGGAGUAUGAACGUGUUGGGCAAAAUGUAGUCGAAAGUGCAACACUAUCACAAAUGAACACAAGAUUCAAUCUCUUCAACACUGCAGUGCCACAAGUUUCGUUGUCUCCACAAAGUACCAAUUCUCCCUUUUUUGCAGAGCACGCAGCUUUUCAAAAUCUUCCAUCUGAAUCCAUGGAUACAACGAUUUCUGCUGCUUCUGAAAUGUCCUCUUUCGCAACUAAUGCGAGUACCCAAACUUAAAGGCAACGAACACCAAAUUGACGUUAAUCGUAGGCUACCUGAAUGACACGAAAGCUGAACUGAGUACAAUUUUGUCUCGAAUAACUCAACUAUAACUGAUGAAGUUUUACCUUUUACUCUACAUGUAUAUAGGAUUCAUGGUAACAACAUGUCACGUCCUCAAGAAAGAUCAAAUUUUACAAAAUUUACAAAGUUCGCAGAUUCUAUAUUGGAAGAAAAAAUCUACAGAAAUAUCAAUAUCAUGCAGUACAUACCAAAUAUACAUGAAGAAUUUAUCUUGACUUGAAGUUCUAAUAGGGAGUUCACAUCGGAAAUGAUUUCAUAAUUAAUGAUGAAAAUUUAAUAUGUUCUUUUCCAGAAAUGCUAAAGUCCAUAGAGAUUUCGAUUAUGUGCAUAUAUGGCACAAGUGUUUUAGAAACCAAUUAAUGUUGAAUUGCUUAUGUCGCCAUAAUGUGGUUCUUAAAAUGGAGCGAAAUGCUAUCAAAAAAUAGAUGAAACGGCUGUGCAUUUGCGAAAAAAAUCUUAUUAUUGUUGUUGCCUCGCCAGAUGCUAUCUUCUUUGCAAAUAAAAGAACUAAAGUAGAAGUAAGAAACAAAGAACAAAAAACAAACAACAAAAAAGGAAAAGAAACAAAACUGGAAAUACGUAUAGAAAUAAAUAAUAAAAAAGGAGUGUAAAUAAAUUUCUUUUGUUCAGAUUGAUGAAAUUGAUGAAAUUGCUGGAAAUUAAGAAAGUGAUUGAAAUAAAAUGAAAUGGGCUGCGAUAAAAAUGAAACCGAAGCCGAAGCGAAAGCGAAAGCGAAGGCGAAAACGCCGUUGCUGAAAUCUACAAAUAUAAAAAAUUAAUAAAAAAAUUAAAUCAAAUUAAAUCAAAUCAAAUGAAUAUAUCUGCACGUAAUUUGUUUGUGGAUGGGAAUGAAAUGUUCAUUUAUAUUCAUUUAUUUCGCUUAUUAUUUAUUGUUAUUGUUAUUGCAAUUACGACAUCAAUAAAGGCCGUUUUG